GGCACUAUAGCCAAGUGGUCUACGGCGACAGAUUCGAACCCACGAACGCUAUCUGUUCCUCUUUGAGGGCGCAGGUUCGAAUCCUGCUGGUGUCG
rnacentral:tRNA from 1 species